CGUCCGGGCUGCACUCAAACCAGAAGCCCUGUCCAAGGUGCACUCAGUAGGACCCGGCCAUACCAUAAGGCCCCACCAGGGACCUGCUGGAAGGCUCUGGAGCCACUCACGCAGGGCCCUCGGUUUCGUGUGGCCCAAGCCAACUUCUGAGGAGGGGCUGUUUCUUCACCCCAAGACUGCGUCCCUCUGAGCCGCCCCUCCUGUUCUCUGCAAUCCUUCCAGUUCCUUCUGCCUGAGGAAGGACGUAUGUCCAGCUCCACUGCGAGCCUGGCACCCGCCCUGGGAGGUGAAAUUUCCACAACACAGAAAGAACAGAAAGUAGAAGCUGUUAAGCUCAGGACCGCAGGAUGGAGUAGCAGAGGGAGGCCGUGUCAGAGAUGACGCGCAGGAAAAAUGUGGGGUUCUUCCAAACUUGCUGAUGAA
rnacentral:lncRNA from 1 species